CAGGUCUGCCAGCAUCUGAGGAGCAGGAGCAUCAACAUUUUGAGUAAAAGUCUUCGAUUAUCUGUAAGGUGGAUCUGUAUUGGAUGGAAAAAGAUCAGCACCUCUAUCCUGCUCUACCAAAUUAAGAACAUUUGCAUUCAUUCAGUUUGCAAAUCUACUUCAAAACAUAACCUACAGGAUCAGGAGUGUGCCGGUUCAUCAAAUAUUCUGGAUAACCAAGAGGUUACACAUGACCACAGUAAACCCUGACCAAGUGAAGUUUCGAGACAUCAAAAUCCCUCAACAAAAUCUAUGUGAAAACAUCAACACAACUUCCAAAAUCAAAUUGAAAACACACACCUCUUAAUGAAGGUGUGCUGUUGGCGUUCUGAGCUUCCCCUGUUGCUGCAUCUACAGCUGCUGCAGUCUUUACCUGUUGAAAAUUGUAUCAUUGCUGUUCGUGCUUUUAAACUGGACCUCUUGUCUCUUUCUGCCAAGGCUUUUAGUACUAUUGUGGAGCACAACCUCUGGCUGCUCACUGCCUACCCCCACCUUUAGAAUAUACUAUGUCCGCAGGAGGGAGACCAUGCGCCAUCGUGGAAUCUGAUUUGUGAAUAUAGAAGCACCUGUCUGGGCCUCUGACUAUAGAAUCCCCUGUUGCUGCUGCUUAUCGACACUUUGACUCUCUCUAUUGUACAACAGAGCCAGUCGUGGUGCCACUGAUCUGGCAACUGUGGCUGCUUUCACCCGAGAGGCCACCUACCGAGAGGUAACCAAAAUGGCAUCCCUGUUUGAGAGGAGAAUGGCCAGGGGACACCUGCAUUGUCUGGGCAUGCUCACUCACCUUCCUAGCAGUCAUCCAACUCUUCUCUGUCUGUGUAGCCUCGACAGAUGAUGUGACCAGCUCACCCAUGACUGUGUCGCCAAAUAUCAGACUAAUGCCAUUUCUCAGUUUGUU